rnacentral:rRNA from 1 species
AUUGAACGCUGGCGGCAUGCCUUACACAUGCAAGCCGAACGGCAGCACGGGAGCAAUCCUGGUGGCGAGUGGCGAACGGGUGAGUAAAGUAUCGGAACGUGCCCAGUCGUGGGGGAUAACGUAGCGAAAGUUACGCUAAUACCGCAUACGAUCUAUGGAUGAAAGCGGGGGAUCGCAAGACAUCGCGCGAUUGGAGCGGCCGAUAUCAGAUUAGGUAGUUGGUGGGGUAAAGGCUCACCAAGCCGACGAUCUGUAGCUGGUCUGAGAGGACGACCAGCCACACUGGGACUGAGACACGGCCCAGACUCCUACGGGAGGCAGCAGUGGGGAAUUUUGGACAAUGGGCGAAAGCCUGAUCCAGCCAUGCCGCGUGCAGGAUGAAGGCCUUCGGGUUGUAAACUGCUUUUGUACGGAACGAAAAGGUUUGGCCUAAUAAGCUGAGCUCAUGACGGUACCGUAAGAAUAAGCACCGGCUAACUACGUGCCAGCCGCCGCGGUAA